rnacentral:pre_miRNA from 1 species
CUUAUACUCCCGUCGUUUUAAACUUUUUGUCUUAACUUAUGAAUAUAUCUAGUCAUGUUUUAGUAUUUAGAUAUAUUCAUUUUUAAACAAACCUAAGACAAGAAUUUUAGGAUGGAGGGAGUAUAAG